GACGAACGCUGGCGGCGUGCUUAACACAUGCAAGUCGAACGAUGAAGCAAAGAAUCGAAGCUUCGGCAGAAAUUCAUUUCGGAUUAGUGGCAGACGGGUGAGUAACGCGUGAGCAACCUACCUCUUACAAAGGGAUAGCCUCGGGAAACCGGGAUUAAUACCAUAUAACAUUGUGACGAAGCAUUUCGAUGCAAUCAAAGCUACGGCGGUAAGAGAUGGGCUCGCGUCCCAUUAACCGGAUGGUGAGGUAACGGCUCACCAUAGUGACGAUGGGUAACCGGCCUGAGAGGGUGCACGGUCACACUGGAACUGAGACACGGUCCAGACUCCUACGGGAGGCAGCAGUGGGGAAUAUUGCACAAUGGAGGGAACUCUGAUGCAGCGACGCCGCGUGAGUGAUGAAGGAAUUCGUUUCGUAAAACUCUGUUCUAUGGGAAGAAAAGGACUGUACCAUAGGAGAAAGCUCCGGCUAAAUACGUG
rnacentral:rRNA from 1 species